ACAUUAAUUUGGGAAGCCCAAACUUUAAUAUACGAAUUCAACAACUUAAACAAUUAAAUCCUAGUCUAGCUCUUAUGGAGUAUUAUUUUAGUCCAACAAAGAGACUCCCAAAACAAGUCCUAUUAAUUUAAUUAAAAUUCACUCACUUAUGCAAGUCCAUUAAAAUGAAAAAUGAUUCAGCACAAUCGCCGCUGCCUCCCUUUCGUGUGCCAUAGAACUCCGUCGAAAGUCAUCUCCAGCGCAGGCGCGGAGGUCACCGUUCGAGGCACCCUCGGUGCUGCAUCGGCUCUUUUCGGCCAGCGGCGGCGGAAGGAUUUGGCAGAUUCUACGGAAGACACGUUGAGUUAGGAGUUGCAUAUUUGAAAGUCUAUUGGGCUGUUAAGUAAAAAUAAAGAAGGCAUAGGGAUGGGCUCUCCCAAUAGUGGUUUUAGAAAUAAAGAUUGUGCUAAAAAUUUUUCAUAAGCCCAACAAUUACAUGUGAAUUUUCUUACAUUUUAUUUCAAUGGGAAUGUAGGGAUGUUCAUGAAUUUGUACACUCAUGCCUUGGUGUAUUAGUGGUCUAUCAAUUACUUCAAAAGUGAAAUUCAUUUUUUUUUCAUUCA